CAAGUCAAUUGAGUCAAAAUGUUGUAGAACAAUUGCAUUUGAACAUUUUGAUCAAUUGACUUGGC
ensembl:miRNA mdo-mir-7347 mdo-mir-7347